CCAGAGAUUCAAUGAUGAAUAAUUACAUUUUUCAUAUUAAAAAAAUCAUCAAAACACAAAGUAACUCCCAAAAUUCAGUUAUGCACAAUAUCAAUAUAAUAAAAGAAUUCUAAUAAGCUAACUAUACUUCACUCUAUUUCUGAGAGCUGCUCAAAUACAGUUCUGUCUGAAUAACAUGUCAUCUGCUCCAUUCCUCACUUCAGGCUAAAAGAACAAUACUACACCCCAAAUGCACCGUGACAAAAAUGACAAUGGAGGUAUAUGUCUGUGCAAACAAGACUUCAAAAUCUCUAGACACAUCCAAACCGUGUUCUUUGCAUCUACUAUCUGAAGUCUCCAGUUUUCUAAAGUCAGUUCUAUCAAUUCUGGUUUCUAAAGCCUUCAUGGCAACUUUGAAAAGAAAAGUCCUUUUGAUGAAACACCGUUUCCUACUGAACAUACAAAUCACAUAGACAGCUCCUGCCAAGGCAACUGCAGUUUACAGUAUUCUGGAAAGUAAGGGUGAGUCAAGCUUGUAUGGUAAGGGAGUGGACACUGUGUGUGACAAAGCAGUUCACAAAAAAUGCAAAUGGAAUCACAUGAAGGAGGAAGUAUGGCAAACGAGUAUUUGAAAACCUAUCAAAGAAUCAAUGGCAGAAGAGGGACAAUAUCCUGUCUUUCUUUUAUUGAAAGUAACAGGAGACUGGAAGGAUUUAAUUCUUUUUGAGAUAAACAGUAGCAUCCUUUGCCCCCACUUCCUGUACAAUCUUAAGUGUCUAAUCAUGUUGUGUUAGGGGCAUUAUGUACUGAUUAUUUCUGGUAUUUGCUUAUACAAGUUUUUUUUCCCUUUUGUUUUGGGGGUACUUAUUUUUCAGUACUUUUAUUCUUGAUUUGGGGGUUCAGACUGAAAUCAAACAGAACAUUUUCCCCUUCUCCACUUCCAAAAUGCCCUCUAAGUACACUGUUGGAACUUUGGAGAAUUCUUUGAUGACUAUGUGGCAUUUUCAAUGAAUAUUAGUAUAAUUUUCUUUAUUAAAAAAUACCAGAAGCAAAUACUUCCAAAUACAGACAGGCAGAGUGGCUUAACAGAAAUAGUAUGCCUUAGAGACACAAAGAACUAGGGUCAAAUCCCAGGUUUUUAAAUUUAUUUUCGAGGCAAUCUGGGUUGUGACUUGCCCAGAAUUACAUCUCUAAUGAGUGCCUGAGGUUGUAUUUGAACUCAGGUUCUCUAGAUUCCUGGACUGAUGCUCUAUCCAUUGCAAUAAUCUAUAAAAUAAGUUGACCCCUUUCUCUUUUAUUUACUGGUUGUGUUUCACUCAGGACCCUGUGCAAGUCUUUUUGAGCCUCAAUUUCCUUCUUUUUAAAAUGAGAAUAAUACCUGCUUCUUACCAUCUUAGGCUUUCAAGUGGAAAGACUCAUCUUCUCCAUGGGUCAGCAUUUUAUUAUAACGUACACAUUUUCUGAAUACUAUAAGGUGGGCAUUGUGUUAAGUGCUACUGCCCAUUAGAGGUGAAGGCAGAAUAUGGCUUUGAAUAUGUGGAUUUUUUGUUGUUGUAGUUGUUGCUGUUGUUGUUAAGAAUUGGCAAGAAUGAAGCAGUAGAGUCUUUUUGGUAUUCUGAGAAUGGCACAAUUUCAUUAUACUGACAGAAAUAAGUCAAUUCUGGAGGUCACAAGCUCUGUCCAGUCAUUAUUUUACUACAUCUUUGAUGACUCCAAAGGUUGUUUAUGAAAACCUGGUCAAUUCUUUCUAGUAUGUUAUGGGGCAAGACUAAUGAGCCAAGUGAAUUUAUUUUUCUAUUUUGAUAGGGUUUGAUAGGGACUAAAAGGGACUUAUUUUGGUCUCUUUCAGACCAAGUUGACAAAAAUUUUAUUUUAUUUUUUUUUGCACAUUACCUGAAUGACAUAUCUGUGCCCUGACAAUUACUUCCUUGAUCUAUGCUAAACAUACAGAACAGAAGCCUGGAGGUCACUGUCAGCAUAAGACUUGAAGAAAAGGGUGUCAGGGACAUUUCAAGACCUUACACCUUACUAAGGAUUGUAAAUACAUGCCUUCUUGUUUCUAAA
rnacentral:lncRNA from 1 species